AUUGAACGCUGGCGGAAUGCUUUACACAUGCAAGUCGAACGGUAGAGGGGGCAACCCCUUGAGAGUGGCGAACGGGUGAGUAAUAUAUCGGAACGUGCCCAGUCGUGGGGAUAACGUAGCGAAAGUUACGCUAAUACCGCAUACGAUCUACGGAUGAAAGCGGGGGACUCGCAAGAGCCUCGCGCGAUUGGAGCGGCCGAUAUCAGAUUAGGUAGUUGGUGGGGUAAAGGCUCACCAAGCCAACGAUCUGUAGCUGGUCUGAGAGGACGACCAGCCACACUGGAACUGAGACACGGUCCAGACUCCUACGGGAGGCAGCAGUGGGGAAUUUUGGACAAUGGACGCAAGUCUGAUCCAGCCAUUCCGCGUGCAGGAUGAAGGCCCUCGGGUUGUAAACUGCUUUUGUACGGAACGAAACGGUGAGCUCUAAUACAGUUUGCUAACGACGGUACCGUAAGAAUAAGCACCGGCUAACUACGUGCCAGCAGCCGCGGU
rnacentral:rRNA from 1 species